AAAGGUUUAGUUAAAUAAUAACAAUAAUUUGUCAAAUUAUAAUUACUCUGCAGUAACCUUUA
rnacentral:tRNA from 1 species